GGGAUGAACGCUGGCGGCGUGCUUAACACAUGCAAGUCGAACGGUGAAGCCGGAGCUUGCUCUGGUGGAUUAGUGGCGAACGGGUGAGUAACACGUGAGUAACCUGCCCUUGACUCUGGGAUAAGCACUGGAAACGGUGUCUAAUACCGGAUACGAGCUUUAGCCGCAUGGCUAGGAGCUGGAAAGAAUUUCGGUCAAGGAUGGACUCGCGGCCUAUCAGGUAGUUGGUGAGGUAACGGCCCACCAAGCCUACGACGGGUAGCCGGCCUGAGAGGGUGACCGGCCACACUGGGACUGAGACACGGCCCAGACUCCUACGGGAGGCAGCAGUGGGGAAUAUUGCACAAUGGGCGCGAAGCCUGAUGCAGCAACGCCGCGUGAGGGACGACGGCCGUUCGGUUACGUAACCUCUUUAGUAGGAAGUAGACGAAGUGACGGUACCUAGACGAGAAAACGCGAACCGACUAACCUACGUAGACC
rnacentral:rRNA from 1 species